GUAGGUGGCAAGCGUUGUCCGGAAUUAUUGGGGCGUAAAGCGCGCGCAGGCGGUUCUUUAAGUCUGAUGUGAAAGCCCACGGGCUCAACCGUGGAGGGUCAUUGGAAACUGGAGAACUUGAGUACAGAAGAGGAAAGCGGAAUUCCACGUGUAGCGGUGAAAUGCGUAGAGAUGUGGAGGAACACCAGUGGCGAAGGCGGCUUUCUGGUCUGUAACUGACGCUGAGGCGCGAAAGCGUGGGGAGCAAGCAGGAUUAGAUACCCUGGUAGUCCACGCCGUAAACGAUGAGUGCUAAGUGUUAGGGGGUUUCCGCCCCUUAGUGCUGCAGCUAACGCAUUAAGCACUCCGCCUGGGGAGUACGGCCGCAAGGCUG
rnacentral:rRNA from 1 species